rnacentral:misc_RNA from 1 species
UUUCCAUAGGUGAACCUGCGGAAGGAUCAUUAUUGUAUAACCGAGGUGCGAGGGCUGUCGCUGACCCGAAAGGUCGUGCACGCCCGAGUGCCCUCACACACAUCCAUCUCACCCCUAUGUGCACCACCGCGUGGGUCCCCCUUUGGCUUGUUCGGAGGGGGGCUUACGUUUUCACACAAACUUUGUAUGCAGUGUAGAAUGUAUUUUUUGUUUUUGCGAUCACGCAAUCAAUACAACUUUCAACAACGGAUCUCUUGGCUCUCGUAUCGAUGAAGAACGCAGC